AUGAACGCUGGCGGCGUGCUUAACACAUGCAAGUCGAACGAAGAUUGCAGGAAGCUUGCUUCAUGUAAUCUUAGUGGCGGACGGGUGAGUAACGUGUGGGCAACUUGUCCUUUACAGGGGAAUAAUCAUUGGAAACGAUGACUAAUACCGCAUGAAGUCGCUUUAAGGCAUCUUAGAGUGAAAAAAGGAGAAAUCCGGUAAAGGAGAGGCCCGCAUCUGAUUAGCUAGUUGGUGAGAUAAUAGCCCACCAAGGCGACGAUCAGUAGCCGACCUGAGAGGGUGAUCGGCCACAUUGGGACUGAGACACGGCCCAAACUCCUACGGGAGGCAGCAGUGGGGAAUAUUGCACAAUGGGCGCAAGCCUGAUGCAGCAACGCCGCGUGAAGGAAGAAGGGUUUCGGCUCGUAAACUUCUAUCAACAGGGACGAAGAAAGUGACGGUACCUGAAUAAGAAGCCCCGGCUAACUACGUGCCAGCAGCCGCGGUAAUACGUAGGGGGCAAGCGUUAUCCGGAAUUACUGGGUGUAAAGGGAGAGUAGGCGGCAUGGUAAGUAAGAUGUGAAAGCCCCGGGCUUAACCUGGGGAUUGCAUUUUAAACUAUCAAGCUAGAGUACAGGAGAGGAAAGCGGAAUUCCUAGUGUAGCGGUGAAAUGCGUAGAUAUUAGGAAGAACACCAGUGGCGAAGGCGGCUUUCUGGACUGAAACUGACGCUGAGGCUCGAAAGCGUGGGGAGCAAACAGGAUUAGAUACCCUGGUAGUCCACGCCGUAAACGAUGAGUGCUAGGUGUCGGGGGGGAACCCUCGGUGCCGCAGCUAACGCAAUAAGCACUCCACCUGGGGAGUACGACCGCAAGGUUGAAACUCAAAGGAAUUGACGGGGGCCCGCACAAGCGGUGGAGUAUGUGGUUUAAUUCGAAGCAACGCGAAGAACCUUACCAAGGCUUGACAUCCUUCUGACGGGUACAGAGAUGUAUCUUCUCUUCGGAGCAGAAGUGACAGGUGGUGCAUGGUUGUCGUCAGCUCGUGUCGUGAGAUGUUGGGUUAAGUCCCGCAACGAGCGCAACCCUUACUUUUAGUAGCCAGCAGGUAAAGCUGGGCACUCUAGAGGGACUGCCGUGGAUAACACGGAGGAAGGUGGGGAUGACGUCAAAUCAUCAUGCCCCUUAUGUCUUGGGCAACACACGUACUACAAUGGCCGGUACAAAGAGAAGCGAGACGGCGACGUUAAGCAAACCUCAAAAACCCGGUCCCAGUUCGGAUUGUAGUCUGCAACUCGACUACAUGAAGCUGGAAUCGCUAGUAAUCGCGAAUCAGCAUGUCGCGGUGAAUACGUUCCCGGGCCUUGUACACACCGCCCGUCACACCAUGGGAGUUGGAAGCACCCGAAGUCAGUGACCAAACCGAAAGGAUGGAGCUGCCGAAGGUGAUAUCAGCGACUGGGGUG
rnacentral:rRNA from 1 species